AUACUCUGGUUUCUUUUCAGAUCGAAUAAAUCUUUAGUCUUUUUCGAAAGAUUUCCGUGAAGAGGAACAUCCAUGAGCUUUCAAUUAUUUUUUGAGGCUCUGCCCCAUGCAGGGCU